AGAGUUUGAUCAUGGCUCAGGAUGAACGCUGGCGGCGUGCCUAACACAUGCAAGUCGAGCGAUCUUCUUUGGAAGAGAGCGGCGGACGGGUGAGUAACGCGUGGGUAACCUGCCCUGUACACACGGAUAACAUACCGAAAGGUAUGCUAAUACGAGAUAAUAUGCUUUUAUCGCAUGGUAGAAGUAUCAAAGCUUUUGCGGUACAGGAUGGACCCGCGUCUGAUUAGCUGGUUGGUAAGGUAACGGCUUACCAAGGCGACGAUCAGUAGCCGACCUGAGAGGGUGAUCGGCCACAUUGGAACUGAGACACGGUCCAAACUCCUACGGGAGGCAGCAGUGGGGAAUAUUGCACAAUGGGCGAAAGCCUGAUGCAGCAACGCCGCGUGAGCGAUGAAGGCCUUCGGGUCGUAAAGCUCUGUCCUCAAGGAAGAUAAUGACGGUACUUGAGGAGGAAGCCCCGGCUAACUACGUG
rnacentral:rRNA from 1 species